GUUAACAGUAGCAUACUGAGUGGCUGACGGGGUAUAACAUGUGGGAAUCUGCCUUGUUGGUUCACGUGACAACAUUGUGGAAACCUGAUGCUAAGUACUGGAUAAGCCCUUACGGGGUAAAGUCUUAAUGCCAUAAGAUGAGCCCGCAUUAGAUUAGCUAGUAGGUGGGGUAACGGCUCACCUAGGCGACGAUCCCUAGCUGGUCUGAGAGGAUGACCAGCCACACUGGAACUGAGACACGGUCCAGACUCCUACGGGAGGCAGCAGUGGGGAAUAUUGCACAAUGGGCGCAAGCCUGAUGCAGCAGUGCCGCGUGUAUGAAGAAGGCCUUCGGGUUGUAAAGUACUUUCAGCGGGGAGGAAGGUGUUGUGGUUAAUAACCACAGAAUUGACGUUACCCGUAGAAUAAGCACCGGCUAACUCCGUGCCAGCACCCGCGGUAAUACGGAGGGUGCAAGCGUUAAUCGGAAUUACUGGGCGUAAAGCGCACGCAGGCGGUCUGUCAAGCUCUGUCAACCUGGAACUGAAAUCCCCGGGCUCAACGUGGGAACGCAAUCGAACUGCAGGGCUAGAAUCUGUAGAGGGGGUAGAAUUCAGGUGUAACGGUGAAAUGCGUAGAGAUCCGGAGGAAUACCGAUGGCGAAGGCGGCCCCCUGGACCAAGACUGACGCUCAGGUGCGAAGCGUGGGGAGCAAACAGGAUUAGAUAACCUGGUAGUCCACGCCGUAAACGAUGAGGACUAGCCCUUGGGUCCUAUUUUGGAUUUAAGUGGCGCAGCUAACGCGUUAAGUUCUCCGCCUGGGGAGUACGGCCGCAAGGUUAAAACUCAAAUGAAUUGACGGGGGCCCGCACAAGCGGUGGAGCAUGUGGUUUAAUUCGAUGCAACGCGAAGACCUUACCUGGUCUUGACACCUCCUGCGAACUUUCUAGAGAUAGAAUUGCGUGCCUUGCGGGAACGCAGAGAACAAGGUGCUGCAUGGCUGUUGUCAGCUCGUGUCGUGAGAUGUUGGGUUAAGUCCCGUAACGAGCGCAACCCUUGCCCUUAGUUGCCAUCAUUCAGUUGGGAACUCUAAGGGGACCGCCGGUGAUUAACCGGAGGAAGGUGGGGAUGACGUCAAGUCAUCAUGGCCCUUAUGACCAGGGCUACACACGUGCUACCAUGGUCGGUACAGAGGGUUGCUAUACCGCGAGGUGGAGCUCGACCCAUGAGUCGAAUGGUAGUCCGGAUUACGCUACGCACUACCCCGGGAAGUCG
rnacentral:rRNA from 1 species